UCAUGUUUGGCAUGGACUUUGUGGGCUAAAGGGACAGUUCCUGUGUUGUAGGAAGGAACUGCAGAUGCUGG